UGUGAUGCAGAGAUUCUCAAAUUAGUAGUAGUAUUUUAUGUAGGAUAAGUAGCACCUAUGUUCUCUAAAGCAAUCUAGAUACACCAUGAGGUCCUUACCAUUAUCGUCAGCAAAAGAGGUAGAUCAAGAGAUAUUACUAUCUUGCAUACUAUUACGGUGGUACCAUGGGUACUUCGGAUCUAUAUAUUAUCAAGGCAUACCUCAGGCUGUCGAGC
rnacentral:lncRNA from 1 species